UGUUUGUGUUCAUAUGUAUGAAUGUGUUGACAUACACAUAGAUACUCAAAUUCAGAUUGGCCGUCACAAUGAGAUGUGGCUAACAUUUGCAGACUAAAGGCUUGGUCCACUUCUUUCAUGAUGUAGACCACUAUGCAUGUAUGCAUAACAGGAGUAAUGGAUAUUGAAAUUCAUGUACAUAUGAGAUGUACCACCGCCCUGAUUCAUGAGAUGAUUACUAUGAGAUUUCAUGCAGAUUAGCACAAUCAGCUUUAUAUCCAGUCACAUUGUGUAUGAAUGGAUCAAUGUUUGAUCGGAUUGACCCCAUGUGAUGAUCAUGUAAACGAAGAACGCUUAAUCGUUCACGAUGUGUGAAUUGAGCCACACGUACCACAAAAGCAAUACUUACAAGUGACUUUAGUCUAGUUGUUGUGUGAUAUGCUAGUCCAGUAAGUGACUUUAGUGUUCUUGUUACCCUAUGCGGUAAGGUCGCACUGAGGUGACACUACUUUGGUAUGCAUUCUCAAGACUAUGUGUACAUAUUCGGCUUGCUUAAUAGCAAGAUGGGAAAGCAACCAAAUCUAGGUCAUAGAAAUGGGUUAAAUGAGAAAUAUACACUACAAGAAAUAUAGGCUUAGCCGUCGGUUGGGGUUACCCUUUGCCGGCGGCCAGAUUUACCGACCGCCAGUAAAGGGGCCCUAUAAAUUGAAAACACGGGACGCCCUAAAACUUCAUUUGCAAAGCUCGCCCUAAGCUCUCUCUCCGCCCACUCUCCUUCAAGCUCUCCCUCUCUCUCCCUCUCUCCCUGCCCGCUCUCCCUCAAGCCCUCCCUCUCUGCUCGCUCUCUCUCUCUCUCUCUGCCUCUCCCUCUCCCUAUCCGCUCACUCUCCCUCUCGCGUCUGAACUCCCCUUUUCCACCAGCUAGCUGGGUGGUGUUGGGGUCAUCACCUAAUCCGAAAACCCCCAAACCCUCUUUCUCUUGAUCGACUCUCCCCUUCUCUCUUUGAUCGAUCUCUCUCCCUCUUACAUCGGCCAAUGGCAUUCUACCGCAACCCAGCGGCGCAUCAGCUGCAUCGUGAUGGAGAUCCGACCAUACCUCAGCAUCUAACGAAUAGGGUUUCUACCCUGGAAGGCUGCAAGGCUGAGGAACCUGACUUACUCUGCACCAUUGUAUGUGGAUGUCACAAAACGUGUCAUAAAGAAAGUGCAUGACUGUGAAGAAGUCACAGAGACACAGGAGUUCACCAAAGUUUUCAUUGGGAAGGUUCCUAUAAUGCUGUGGUCUAGUUUUUGUACGUUGUACCAGAAUUUAGAAAAAGAUCUAACAGAACUCGGGGAAUGUCCAUAUGACCAAGGUGGAUAUUGUGACUGAUUCUGUCUUGUGCCUUACCAUGCUAGUGCUAAAGUUUGGCAUUCCUUGUGGUCUGCAGGGCUCUUCAGGGCAGUAUAUUUGGGCUACUCUUCCUUAUAUUCGGACAGAAAUCCCAAUAAUUAUUGUGUUUCGAGCAUUAGGAUUGUAGUUCUGAUUGGAAAAGGUCCUAGUGGCCUGGAUAUCUGUAGAGAUAUUUCAAAAUUAGCUAAAGAAGUCCAUCUAACAUCAAGAUCCAUAGAUGUUGAAGUUGCGAAGUUGGAGGGCCAUGAUAAUAUUUGGCAGCAUCUGAUGGUAUGUUGACCCCUUUACUCUCACUACAUCCUGUAGUUCCCACUACAUAAUUCCUUGCAUUAAGGUGUCUCACAAAAAUCUUUUUCAUUGGAAAUGUUAUGUUGAAAAUAUGAAAUCUGAGUGGACAUAAAGGAACAAAGGCACGGCACUAAUUUGAGCUCCUUAUUGCAGAUAAAGUCCGUUCAUUAAGACAGAACAGUGCUAUUUCAUGAUGGAUCAUCAGUUUUUGCAGAUGUCAUCUUCCAUUGUACAGGGUACCCAAUGGACCCAACCUGAGCUUCUACCACUUCUUUUGAAUUCAGCCCCACUUGCCAUUUAUCAUCAAUAUCUUCAGGUCCAAUGCCCUGGGUCCUGUUGGCUUUAUUUUGUGUGCAUCUGUUAGUCUACUCUUUUUAAUGGUAAUCAUGUUAAAAGCUAUUGAAUUGAUGUGGCAUACCUAUCAGUCCCAGCCAAAACCCGUCCUGUUUCAGUGAUGAGUUCUGAUCCCAACCAAUUCGACAGUCUGGUCCAUUCCAGGUAAGUAAACACCGGUCAUUGCUGAGGCUCAUCAAACUGGAAGCUCCUCAUUGAUCAAGAAGGCUGUCAAACUUUUGACUUCUGGAGGGAACAUGCUGGAGUUGUGUCAUGAGCUACGCUUACCCUUUGUUAAUUGGGUUAUAACAAACCAGGAAGACUUUGACAGGGAACAGAAAUUUGGGGGUGAAGCAACCAGUAGUAUGGUGCCUGAUCGUGAUUCAAGCAUUUGAAAUGAUGGCAAUUGCUAUGAUCGAAGUGUGAAAGAACUCUCAAGACAGAGAGCUAACAUUUCUGAAUUUUGCAACAAGGAGAUCAUCACUACAAGAAAUCGGCCCUUAGCCGACCGAUGGGCCAACCCUUUGCCGGUGGCCAGUUUUAACGGCUGCCGGCAGGGUCCCUAUAUAUAAAAGAAAAAAGGGGUCCCUUUUAUCUUUCCCUUCUUCGCUAUGUAUUUAUUUUCUCAUGCUUUCUUCGUUUAAUUGCAGUUUGAGAGUGUUUCAUUACCAUGAUAAUGGUUGAUCAUGUAUGUGUAUAGUGUGAUAGUUUGCUGUAUAUGUUUGGAUUCUAGAAACUAAGUUUGAAAAUCUUGGAUGGUUUUGAAUCAUAUAGCAGCACGACCUAUGUUGCCUUGAAAGGAAUUUCGAUAAAUGACGGGAUAUGCAGAUAGUUGUAUCUGCAUAUACUUAAUGAAUACAACUUCUUUUACACACUUCAAAUCUAUUCUACUAAUUUUAUUUUUUUAUUUGACGAGUAUGAAUUUAUGAUUAAGGGCCUGUUUGGAUAUCAUCAAAUAAGUUACUUUUUCUAUUUACAGCAGUAGAUAAGUAACUUAUUUCAGAUAAGUAGGUUUUGUUUAUGAUUAGUUAUAAGUAACUUUUUUACUUACAAGUACUUAAUCAAUUCAUUUAUAUGUGGAUCCAUCAUGAUGUAUGUGUUUCAUCCAUGCUGUCCAUCCUUUUUUUCAAAUCAUUUCAGUUAUAUCCUGAUUUGUUUGACCAUUCACUAGCAUUUUUCUGUUCCAAUAACUUGGGUAAUUAAUUUCUUAGCUUAAUUGGUUGCUGAUAUUUUGUCCAAUCAAACGACUAUCCUGUUUUUUGGUUGGUAGGUUGGUCUGUGAGGCAAGUUACUGUGCUUAAUUUUCUGGUACUUUUUCUUGGCAGAUUUCUAAAUAAGCUUUGAUUUAGGCUCAAUUAUCAAAAGAAGAAAAUUGUACAUGAUGAGUAACGCGAGGGUCGUUCAUUAGUUGUUAUUGGCCCCUCAUUGUAUCUUUUGUAGAACUUUCUCCAUUUUGCUUGUCCAAACAAACAACUAUUCUGUUUUAUUGUUGGUAGGUGGGUCUGUGAGGCAAGUUACUGUGCUUAAUUUUCUGGUACUUUUGUCUGGGCAGAUUUCUAAAUAAGCUUUGAUUUAGGCUCAAUUGUCAAAGGAAGAAAAUUGGUACAGGAUUAGUAACGCCAGGGUUGUUCGUUAGUUGUUAUUGGCCCCUCUUUGUAUCUUUGGUAGCACUUUCUCCAUUUUGCUUCAAUAUAUUUUGCCAUCUUUCAAAGAAAAAGAAAGUGUACUUUGAAGGAAUUUACACAUUCUGCCUGAGGGUGAAAUUUUACUAUAUUUAUGCAUAUGCUGCCUAUGAGAUGCAUUAUGUCUUUAGAUGAAGCAUGCCUAUAGUGAAUUAUAUAUGUCCACCAUUAUCUGUUGAAUAUUAUUAGAGUUAUUUGUCUUCUCGGUUCACCAUCCAAAACAUGGUAAUGCUACAUUAAGUCAUUGCUAUUUGUUGUUUACAAAAUAUCUAUCAAAUUAGGGGUGGCAAUAGGUUGAGCGCUGCCCUAACCCAGCCUUGGCCCUAAUCGGACUUGAAAGGCCCUGAUGUUAGCCUUAGCCUUACAGGGCCAUGCAGGCUAGGGCAGAAAAAGAGUUAAACGAUCAAAGGUUUGAAAAUAGUCCAGUCUUAAGAUUUAUUUUUUUAUUUUUUUGGGACAUUCUCCAUUUAUGACAAGUCCCAUCAUAUGCACAGUUUGGAUCCCCUGGAUCCAACAAGUGUCUUUAAGAUCAAAACAAAUGAUUUGAAUGGGAUGUAAAGAAUCGAAGUGAAGUGGACCAUUAUGGGAAAAAUCGGAAAGAAGGGUAAACCUUAACUUUCUUUUUUAUUUUUUCAUCAUCUUUUUAUGUAUUUCCAAUGUAAUGGGCCAUUAUUCACCAAAUCAUGUUUAAUUUGCAUUCAAUUAGGGCCCAUUUAGUUGACUUUCAACAAGUCAAAUCGACAAGCAACAUUCUCAUCAAAGAAUGGUCCGAUACACCGUUGAAUACAUGUUCAAAAGACACACAAAAAAAAAUGAUAGAUUCGUGAAUAUCUCAUUUUUUCCCCCUAUUUUCUGAUAUUUUUAAAAUAUUUUUUUUUGCUUAAAAAAAAUAUGACCGAUACUACACCUAUCUGAAUGUGGAAGUUCCCUGACAUUUUCUGAUGUGCAUGAUGGUUAAGUGCUUUUUUUUUCCCCAUCUACUUAUCCGACAAUUCAGGGCACUUCAGUUGGUAAACAUUUGGAACUCGUCUUUUUCUGGCAAAAUUUCCCUUUUUGCUGUGACACUAUUGAAGAUGAUUUUCUGUUUUGCAUUUCUGCUUCUUUGUGCAUGUGCCAUUUUGGUGCCUGUGCGUGUAAUGUUGCUGCUGCCAUGUGCACAUGCUCAGGCAUGCCCAUGUGGUGAGUGGCUGUGCAAGUGGCUUUUGCAGGGACAUUUAUUUCAAAGUUAUAAAAACUUUUAUAUUUAUUGUAUGUGGGUUAAUGUAUGCCUCAGAAUGACUUAAAUGACUUAUUUAACAGAUGAGAAUAUUCUGUUCUUAGGUUUAAGUUUGAUGAUGAAUGGGUAACAAAAGAAGAUAUGAAGAGGGCAUUAGAGGAGCAAUAUGGAGGUGAGGAAGAGGAUUCUUGCAAAUCGUCAGUUUGUUGCUCUCUCGAAAGAGCGGAAGGCCCAUUAUAUAUCAGAACUUGAGCGGAAAGUUCAGACUGUUCAAAUUGAAGCCAACUUUUUCUGCACAUCUCACAUUAUUCCAGUUUUGUACCAAUUGAAUUAUGUCUUUGAGAAUGUAUUCUUUUUUUCUUUUUUCUUUUUUUCCCCUUUUCAUUCUUUCUUUUUCUCUUCAUUCACUAGGAAGAUUCACUAGGUUGCUUCAAAUCAUUGUGGUUAGUUAUUCUGUUAUUGUAUUUGGUGAACUCAUGGAAUUCCAUGGAACUGAUUGAAUGGAAGGAGCUUCUGUUGUUCAUACAAGUCAUGUUUCUGAUUUUUUGGAUGAAUUGGGUGUGUGAAAUUGCAUGGAACUGAUCAAAUGAACAUGGAAUUUCUAUUGGGAAGAAACACCGACUCCUCAGAAGGCCAUAGACAGUACGUUCAUUGGAUUCUCCGCAAGUUCUAAGAGUUCCUGUCAUACCUUUUAGUAAAUUUGUUUUUUUUUUUUUUUUGGAUUCUCCAUAGACAUUAAGUUUUCUUCUUGUUGUUGGUUUUUCUGGAUUCUCCAUAUGAAAUUAUGAGAAAUCAUGCCUAAAACAUUUAAAAGCAUUUGUUGGAGCCCACCUAAGUUUUGAAAUAGCCUAAAAUCUUUUGUGACCCCUUAUCCAAGUGACCCCUUAUCUAAGUCACAAUGAAUGGCCUAGAUGUAUAAACCACAUCUCGUUGGGUCCGCUGCACAAAAAAAAGAAGGUUUCAAUGGAUGUGCAUCCACUCUUAUCCAUUGCUCAUGUUGUAGCUCACCUAAGUUGUGAAUUGGCCUCAUUUUUAAGCCCAUGGCUCACCAUGAAAGGGUAUAUCUAAUUCAUAGGAUAGAUGUCUACAAAUUUUGAGGAUGUGUUGCAAGCAGAAAACCUUUACUUGAUUACUGAGGCUAUUAUCAUUUUGCAGAAAUAUUUUAGACCAAUGAAAUUUUAAUAUGAUUGAAAUGGACGGACAGCUGAAGGAAGCAGAAGAGUCCGAAGUGGAAGAUGCUUCAAAUAUGACUAAAAUGGAAGGACAACUGGAGGAAGAGGAAGAUGCUUCACAUGUGACUAGAAUGGAAGAACAACAGGAGGAAUUAUGCAUUUCUUCAAGCUAUAUGUUUUCAUAAGUGAUAUUAGUUCUUAACUUCUAACAUCUUGAUUUAUGUUGAAAUUUAAGCUUUCAAUCCAAUGAGAACAAAUCCUGGUGGGUCAUUGCAAGACUAAAUUGCGUACAAUGUGGGCAAUACAGUUGAUGACUGCCCUCAUUUUGAAAAUAGUACAAAAGGCUUGUUUGGAUUUUCCAAUGGGUGCCUAACCAUGAAGAGAUAGGAUGAGAUUAGUGCAUUGUUUGGUUAGCCAGGGCACUUUUUCAUUAUUUCAGCUUUUGUUUCCAAUCAAAGUAUUGUAUUAGCAGAUAUUGCUUUCC